rnacentral:rRNA from 1 species
UACGGAGGAUCCAAGCGUUAUCCGGAUUUAUUGGGUUUAAAGGGUGCGUAGGUGGCUUUUUAAGUCAGGGGUGAAAGACGGUAGCUUAACUAUCGCAGUGCCUUUGAUACUGAAGAGCUUGAAUGAACUAGAGGUAGGCGGAAUGUGACAAGUAGCGGUGAAAUGCAUAGAUAUGUCACAGAACACCAAUUGCGAAGGCAGCUUACUAUGGUUUUAUUGACACUGAGGCACGAAAGCGUGGGGAGCGAACAGG